UAGAAUCAAAGCCAGAACAUAGCCUUUUUGAAAUGGAGGCAGUAGAGGUGCUUAGAUUUUUUGCAUGAUUUCAAUUAAAAGAUAAGCCAUUAAUUUUUCAAACUUCCUUUUUAUCUCCAAAACAAAUUAAAUUCUCUCUCAUAAGAUCUUCAUCUUCCUUUUUUUUUUCAUCCGCCGGUUUCCGCUGUAACUCCUAAUGAUUGUGUAAGACCACAAACUAUUCAGGAGUCCAAAUUGGCCCAUAAGGAUGACAGAUACAAGCAGAAGUCCAAAGAGUGAAGCCAAAUCCAUAAUUCGAGCAUUCAGUUCGAUCUUCAGCUCUAAUCCGAUUCUACUAAGCCACCUGCUAUGAAUCGGUGACAAGUAUAUGGUGACAAGUAUAUACUGAAGCAUAUGAGCAAAAAUUAGAGUAUUUAGUGUUUCAUGCUAUUAUAAAUCAAGUAUCAUGUGAUUUUAUUAUUUUGCUAAAAAUAGAAGAAUACGUGGUUUUGUGAGCUUCAUUCUGUAAAGUAUUUAAAAGUGAUCAAUUUGCUUAAGUAUUUGAUUGAUAGCUACUCAAAAAUAACUUAAUGUAUCAAAAAGGAUUAAAAAAUUUUAUUGUUAGUUGAGUAGUUUUAAAAUAAGUAGAUAGGACCUUAUUUAUAGCUUAUUUGAAGUAGUUUUUCUAAUUUGUAGGUCAAAUUAAACAUCAUUCUAUUUAAAAAUAUAGAUUUGAGUAAUUUAAAAGCCAAACCCAACACCUCUUUAUUUUUUACUGGCAUCUCUAAUAUUUUUACUUUAUUAAAGCACAAUAUAAGACUUCACAACAUAAGAACACACCUUUUGCUUGCUCCUCUCUUGUCCGAAGCUUUUACUUGAUAGUACACAUCUUUCUCGACGAGGAGGAGUGAUUUUAGUAUUGGGAAUAUUUCCUCUCAAAAACUUAUAUGCAUUUGGAAAGUUUUAAUUCAC
rnacentral:lncRNA from 1 species